GCAGUGGUGGUUCAGGGGUAGAAUUCUUGACUUCUGUGCAAGAGAUCCAAGUUCAAUUCCCUGCCAACGCA
rnacentral:tRNA from 1 species